UAAAAGGGUUUUUUUAAAUUUGGGGAAAUUUUUUUCCCCUGGCCUUUUGGGGGUUUUAAAAAAAAUUUUUCCUUUUUUUGGGGAAAUUUUUGGGGGGAAAAAAAAAAAAGGAAAAUUUUUAAAAAAAAAUUUUUUAAUUUUUCGGGGGGGGCCCCCCCCCCCGGGGGGGGCCCCCCA